AGCAGCCGCGGUAAUUCCAGCUCCAAUAGCGUAUAUUAAAGUUGUUGCAGUUAAAAGCUCGUAGUUGAAUUUCGGGGUUAGUAGGUUGGUCAUGCCUCUGGUAUUGUACUGGUCUCACUGAUUCCUCCUUCCUGAUGAGCCGUAAUGCCAUUAAUUUGGUGUUGCGGGGAAUUUGGACUGUUACUUUGAAAAAAGUUAGAGUGUUUAAAGCAGGCUCACGCUUGAAUACAUUAGCAUGGAAUAAUGAAAUAGGACGUUUGAUUCUAUUUUGUUGGUUUCUAGGAUUGACGUAAUGAUUAAUAGGGAUAGUUGGGGGCAUUAGUAUUCAAUUGUCAGAGGUGAAAUUCUUGGAUUUAUUGAAGACUAACUACUGCGAAAGCAUUUUGCCAAGGAUGUUUUCAUUAAUCAAGAACGAAAGUUAGGGGAUCGAAGACGAUCAGAUACCGUCGUAGUCUUAACCAUAAACUAUGCCGACUAGGGAUCGGAUGAUGUUAAUUUUUUUAAUGACUCAUUC
rnacentral:rRNA from 1 species